AUCCGAUGGGUCAGCAGACGUGAGAACCUCCGCCAUGAGAACACACGCAGCUGUGUAACGUGCUGUAAAAGCAUCCGCUUGGUGUGGAGUGUGUCUAAACCUCCGAGGUGUUUCACCUCAGCACGGGUUUACUGUUCUACUGUUUAACCCUCAAGUAAAUUCUCAAAAUAAACUAACAAACCUUCAUUGACUGUUACUCACUAACACCAACUGAACAAAUACUACACACACUCACACUCCUGGACUUCACUUAUACUUUUUUACUUCUUAAAUAGUGUUUAUAGAGUUAAAUCUGAAUUAAAACUGCAUGUUCUUUACUUCUCAUUGGAGCACUGAAGCUCCUCCCACUUCAUCAUUAUGUCGUCACACGGUGCACGUGGUCUCCGAUUGCGAAACUACACCGCUGCGUUAUCUACCGUCGCCGACGCCGUGACUGACGUUUACACCAAGCACCACAAUGGUCAAAGUGCUAGGACAUGAUCUGUUUAUUAUAUCUGGCAAGUGUGUGCGUGUGUGUGUGUGUGUGUGUGUGUGUGUGUGUGUGUAACAGGAUCUAAUAUAAACCCUGUUCAGGUCAAUAUCCACACUGAUAGAACACGAGUGUCCUGUCAGUACAGCGGUUUACAGCUGUUACAGUUUCCCCCGACGGUUCGUGAGUUCUGGAUUGUGAUUGGUCAGAACCGGAGGCCUUGAUUCAUUUUCUAUAACAGCAGCUCUGACGGUAAAUCACAGGUUUAUAUGAAGGCGUUAUCGUUUCUACGGUAACGGCUCUUUCGUCUCCGGGGUCAGCGCUUUAAAGUAGUCACCGACGCGUUCCCCGGGCAUUCCAGAACGCUCACCGUAACUAUGAACAGAUCAGAAGUGUGACGGGUCGGCGUUAGAUAAAUAAACCGCCGGCGUUGGGAAAUUUGGGAAUAAAACACCGGGGGACGCACUGUUACGGGAAAAUAAUCAACCCGGGUAGGGUGGACUGACUCGGACUCACACACCACCCUGGUGAUUUACUGUGACAGCACCACACUCACACACUCACACACUCACACACUCACACACUCACACACUCACACACUCACACUGUUUAUUCUGUCCUGAGGUCAUUUUUUCAGUGAAACUGGAGUUAAUGAGUAACAGGUAUCGAGUGGGGCUGAAACCCGACACUAAAAUAUCCAGCUAAUAAAUGAGGAAACGUCGUAUAUAAUAAUAAUAAAGAGGUUUGUGUGUGUGUGUAAAAAUAAAUAAAUAAAUAAAAACUACGUUCUAUUUAUGGUUAAAUACUAAUUAUUUUACUUGUUAAUAAUUUUAUUGUUAUUAUUAUUAUUAUUAAGUCUACUAUUAAUCUUAAUUGAUAUUCACUUUAUAUUCUUGUUGAAACUACGUAUAAAAGGAAAAGUAAUGAAUAGAAGUCUGUAGAAGAAUAGUUUAUGAAGUGUUGGUUAUGAAGUGUGAUAAUGAUGAAUCAUCCCUUCACGUCAGACUUCAGGAAAUAAACAGAUCAAACAUCAGCGGCUGAGAAACCAGGCCGUGCUCCAGGCGUGUCUUUAAAUCAUUCUACACCUGCUCCAGGCUCCCCCAACGACCGCACCCCGCCACCGCACCCCGCCACCGCACCCCGCCACCGCACCGGGACCUCGCUCUCAACAGCGUUACCGUGGUUACGGGUACUGUCUAACUCCACCUGUCUGUCUCUCCCCCCACACACAGGAUGUCUGUGGGUCCACAAAGCUUCGUUCCUCAGUAUAAUCCCUGGAAGCCUCAGCCUCAGAUGGACGCCCUGGUCUCAGCUCUGUGGCAUGGCCUCUGUCCUGACACUAUAAUGAAAGACGAUUAUGAAUCAGUGCAUAUAUUUGCCCAGCUGUCCAAUCACAGGAAUGCAGUCAUGCAAACCAUGUAUACACACAUCUUCGAUCUGGUGAUUACACACCUGCCAGACAACAGAGACAGCAGGAACAGUAAGGGUGUGUUAUACAGCUUUCCCAGCAAUUAAUCCAUCUGGCACAAAUGUAAGUGGACCUUAAAAUCAACAUUUGCUGAGGACGUGGUGGGGAAAAAGCCAGCGCCUCUUACAACAUUUCAG